CGCGAAUGGCUCAUUACAACAGCUAUAAUUUACUUGAUCUUGACAACCUCACUUGGAUAACUGUGGUAAUUCUAGAGCUAAUACAUGCACCAAAGCUCCGACCGUAAGGGAAGAGCGCAUUUAUUAGAACAUAACCAAGCGGCUUCGGCCGUCCAAUGUUGACUCAGAAUAACUAAGCUGAUCGCAUGGUCUUGUACCGGCGACGUGUCUUUCAAGUAUCUGCCUUAUCAACUUUCGAUGGUAGUGUAUCUGACUACCAUGGUGAUGACGGGUAACGGAGGAUAAGGGUUCGACUCCGGAGAAGGGGCCUGAGAAAUGGCCACUACGUCUAAGGAUGGCAGCAGGCGCGCAAAUUACCCACUCUCAGAACGAGGAGGUAGUGACGAGAAAUAACGAGACCGUUCUCUUAAGAGGCCGGUCAUCGGAAUGGGUACAAUUUAAACCCUUUUACGAGUAUCUAUGAGGGGGCAAGUCUGGUGCCAGCAGCCGCGGUAAUUCCAGCU
rnacentral:rRNA from 1 species